rnacentral:rRNA from 1 species
UACGAAGGGGGCUAGCGUUGUUCGGAAUUACUGGGCGUAAAGGGCGCGUAGGCGGUGAUCUUUGUCAGAGGUGAAAGCCCGGGGCUCAACUCCGGAAUUGCCUUUGAAACGGGAUUGCUUGAGUCCGAGAGAGGAUGGCGGAAUUCCUAGUGUAGAGGUGAAAUUCGUAGAUAUUAGGAAGAACACCGGUGGCGAAGGCGGCCAUCUGGCUCGGUACUGACGCUGAUGCGCGAAAGCGUGGGAGCAAACAGG